GACGAACGCUGGCGGCGUGCCUAAUACAUGCAAGUAGAACGCACAGUUUAUACCGUAGCUUGCUACACCAUAGACUGUGAGUUGCGAACGGGUGAGUAACGCGUAGGUAACCUGCCUGGUAGCGGGGGAUAACUAUUGGAAACGAUAGCUAAUACCGCAUAAUAUUAAUUAUUGCAUGAUAAUUAAUUGAAAGGUGCAAUUGCACCACUACCAGAUGGACCUGCGUUGUAUUAGCUAGUAGGUGAGGUAACGGCUCACCUAGGCGGCGAUACAUAGCCGACCUGAGAGGGUGAUCGGCCACACUGGGACUGAGACACGGCCCAGACUCCUACGGGAGGCAGCAGUAGGGAAUCUUCGGCAAUAGACGAAAGUCUGACCGAGCAACGCCGCGUGAGUGAAGAAGGUUUUCGGAUCGUAAAGCUCUGUUGUAAGAGAAGAACGGGUGUGAGAGUGGAAAGUUCACACUGUGACGGUAUCUUACCAGAAAGGGACGGCUAACUACGUG
rnacentral:rRNA from 1 species